UGGGGUAUCGCCAAGCGGUAAGGCGCUGGGUUUUGAUCUCAGCAUUCCUAGGUUCGAAUCCUAGUACCCCAGCCA
rnacentral:tRNA from 1 species